CACGCAGCGGAGGAUAGAACCACAGGGACCUGCCCUAGUAACGGCGAGUGAAGCGGCAACAGCUCAAAUUUGAAAUCUGGCUUCGGCCCGAGUUGUAAUUUGUAUAGGAUGCUUUUGGCGCGGCACCUUCUCAGUCCCCUGGAACGGGGCGCCAUAGAGGGUGAGAGCCCCGUAUAGUUGGAUGCCUAGCCUGUGUAAAGCUCCUUCGACGAGUCGAGUAGUUUGGGAAUGCUGCUCAAAAUGGGAGGUAAAUUUCUUCUAAAGCUAAAUACCGGCCAGAGACCGAUAGCGCACAAGUAGAGUGAUCGAAAGAUGAAAAGCACUUUGAAAAGAGGGUUAAAUAGCACGUGAAAUUGGUGAAAGGGAAGAGCUUGUGACCAGACUUGCGCCCCGCUGACCCGGGGGGCUCUGUCCGGCAGAAAA
rnacentral:rRNA from 1 species